AGUCUGAAGAAAUACAAAGUUGAUAUUUAUUAAACGUCAGUAUAGACGCGAGCAAAACUGAGCUUGGUGCUUGUGGUCUGAAGGAAAAGAGCAUCGGUCUUAUAUAAGUGGCCUUUACGUAUUUGACCGUUCCAAAAACAAGAGCACAACGAGUGUUGAGCACAUGAUCAUAAUACAAAACAAGAAAGUCUAGAUUCUCGGUUUUGAAAAAGAUCUGUGUGCUUUCCACGAAACGUUUAGCCAACAAGUAGUACAAAUGUUGUUCUAUCAGAAAUGAGAAGCUGCAACGUGUCGUUUAAUAAUGGCAAGUGUUUCGUCGUGCUAUUUGAAAAUCUUGUUCUGUGAAUACGGAAUGUCAAUUUGCGUAAACUAUAUCCAAAGUUGUUGUUCUGAAACGGACGGAUAAGGAAGUAUCUUCAAGUACAAUCAGACGACGAUAUCUCAAGCCAAGUUUGAAAGGUUGCGUCGCACAGGAGGUCGCAAAAAAUGAGAUUUGAAUGGUCGUAAUAAAAAGUGAAUAGACUGGUCAGUGGUUUUGUACUGGAGCAAAGUGCCGUGCUGUAAUCAGAUGAAACAAUUUUUGAACUUGUUUCUGAAUGAAGAUUUAUGGUGAGAAGGACUGUAGAGGAGCGGUGGGGCGGUUCAUGUAUGGAAUGUACUCAUGGCUGCCAGGGAGGGGGUACCCUCAAAGUGCUUAAAAGUAGGUUGGAGUAACCAGCAUACAUUAGGAUAUUAAAAAGUCAGUCCGCCCCAAAAUUUAUCCCCACCCUGAGUAUUUCAGGAGAUAUCCCCCCCUGAUUUCAAAAAAUAUACAGUUGUUGAAUGUUAAACAUUAGAAAUGCACACAAAAAAUACAAUUUUCUCUAGUUUUUACCAAACUGUGAACAUUUAAAUUUUCAAGGUAGUGAUCUAAAUCAUUUGCACGGAACUGCACAUUUAUCUAAAUGUUUAUUUUUAUAAAACCGAUUAAACCCAAGCUUUACGAAAACGGUGUUGGGAGAGUCGAGGCUAUUUUAAUAAGACGGAUACAUUUAUUAUUUUAGCAGUUUUUGUAUUUGCGGUGGGUUGUUCAUCGUUAUUCCAAUACAACAAAUGAUUUCAACCAAGUUUUCUCAUUACCUUGAAAACAGCGGGUACAUUUCGAAGAUGACGAACGGCAAAGUUCCAUCGUUGGAGCAUAUUGAAUCUAUGGUGACUUUAACCACGUUGUAAAUAACAAUUGCAGUUUUUAAUGUAGGUAAUAAGUAUUACUACGAUAUUAUAUCAUCGAUUUCUACAGAAAGAGAAGUCGCCCGUACAAUAAAAUAACGAAAUAUAUUGGCACGACAAAAAGAAAUCUCCAAA